rnacentral:rRNA from 1 species
AAUGACAUAAUGAUGGCAGCGCUGUCUCCAGCAGAGACUCAGUGAAAUCGAAAUCGCAGUGAAGAUGCUGUGUACCCGCGGCUAGACGGAAAGACCCCGUGAACCUUUACUACAGCUUUACAUUGAACUUUGACCUGACUUGUGCAGGAUAGGUGGGAGGCUUUGAAGCCGAGACGCUAGUCUUGGUGGAGCCAUCCUUGAAAUACCACCCUGGUCAUGUCGGGGUUCUAACUCAG